rnacentral:rRNA from 1 species
UUUAAAGUCUAAUCUGCCCUAUGAGGAGUUAAAUGGCCGCGGUACUUUGACCGUGCAAAGGUAGCAUAAUAAUUAGUUUUUUAAUUGAAAGCUGGAAUGAAUGAUUGGACGAGAAAAUGGCUGUCUCGAUUUAGAUUUAAUUAGAAUUUUAUUUUUAAGUUAAAAAGCUUAAAUUUAAUUGAAAGACGAGAAGACCCUAUAGAGUUUUAUAUUUAGUUAUAUAUUAUUUUUUUAGAAUUAUUAUAUUAAUAUAUGGUUAAUUAUUUUGUUGGGGUGACAGAAAAAUUUAAUGAACUUUUUUUAUAUAGAAUCAUUGAUUUAUGAAUAGAUGAUCCAUUUUUUAUGAUUAUAAGAUUAAAUUACCUUAGGGAUAACAGCGUAAUUUUUUUUUAGAGUUCUUAUCGAAAAAAAAGAUUGCGACCUCGAUGUUGGAUUAAAAUUAAUUUUUGGUGUAGAAGCUAAGUGAUUAGGUCUGUUCGACCUUUAAAAUUUUACAUGAUCUGAGUUUAAACCGGCGUGAGCCAGGUUGGUUUCUAUCUUUAAUAAUAUAAAAUAUUUUAGUACGAAAGGACCAAAUAUUUGUAAAAUUUAUUUAUUUAUUGAAUAAUAUUAG